CCCGGCUCACUCGAUAAGGGCUACAGCACAAUGAAGCAUCUGGAGUCUUACCUAACUCGUGACAUCUUCAAAAAACUAUCUGACUUCCGAGGACCGAGGCUAACUUACAGCUAAAAGUGAGUGGAACAGCUUCUGCUGAGAGUUCCACUAUGUACCUGGUAGCUGACUGUGUCCAGCAUCGGACGGACUAUGAGUCCACAUGAGGAGCACAUUCUUCCUACAAAUCAAAGCUGUGCUUCAACAUGUGCAGAGGAAAACAGCUAAAAUCAGCCCUUACCUGGGUUAUGAAAAGUAUGACUGAUUUUCUCUUCCAGAACACAUAAGUGUUGGAAAAUUUAAAUUGCUGAGGAAAAACAGUGUGUUUAAACAAGCUUGUAUUUAACUUCAAGUAUUCAAGGUAGUUCCUGCUUGAACAGUGUGUCCCUGUGUAAAACAAUACAGCUGACGCCAGUGAUUUCUGCCUUGGGUACGCUUAUAUGUUAGGUAUGGAAAACUUUUCUUUAAAAUUCUAAAAAUGCCAUUAUUUUAAGGAGAUGCUCUUUGAGGGACAUCCUGAAAAUCAGCUGAAAGUUUUGAGAGUCUCU